rnacentral:rRNA from 1 species
UAAGCAUAUCAAUAAGCGGAGGAAAAGAAACCAACAGGGAUUGCCCUAGUAACGGCGAGUGAAGCGGCAACAGCUCAAAUUUGAAAUCUGGCUCUCUUUGGGGGUCCGAGUUGUAAUUUGCAGAGGAUGCUUUGGCAUUGGCGGCGGUCUAAGUUCCUUGGAACAGGACAUCGCAGAGGGUGAGAAUCCCGUACGUGGGCGCCUGCCUUUGCCGUGUAAAGCUCCUUCGACGAGUCGAGUUGUUUGGGAAUGCAGCUCUAAAUGGGAGGUAAAUUUCUUCUAAAGCUAAAUACCGGCCAGAGACCGAUAGCGCACAAGUAGAGUGAUCGAAAGAUGAAAAGUACUUUGGAAAGAGAGUCAAAAAGCACGUGAAAUUGUUGAAAGGGAAGCGCUUGCAGCCAGACUUGCCCGCAGUUGCUCACCUAGGCUUUGGCCUGGGGCACUCUUCUGCGGGCAGGCCAGCAUCAGUUUGGGCGGUUGGAUAAAGGCCUCUGUCACGUAUCUUCCUUCGGGAUGACCUUAUAGGGGAGGCGUAAUGCAACCAGCCCGGACUGAGGUCCGCGCAUCUGCUAGGAUGCUGGCGUAAUGGCUGUAAGCGGCCCGUCUUGAAACACGGACCAAGGAGUCUAACAUCUAUGCGAGUGUUUGGGUGUCAAGCCCGGGCGCGCAAUGAAAGUGAACGGAGGUGGGAACCCUUUGGGUGCACCAUCGACCGAUCCUGAUGUCUUCGGAUGGAUUUGAGUAAGAGCAUAGCUGUUGGGACCCGAAAGAUGGUGAACUAUGCUUGAAUAGGGUGAAGCCAGAGGAAACUCUGGUGGAGGCUCGCAGCGGUUCUGACGUGCAAAUCGAUCGUCAAAUUUGGGCAUAGGGGCGAAAGACUAAUCGAA